rnacentral:rRNA from 1 species
UGGGGAAUUUUGGACAAUGGGCGCAAGCCUGAUCCAGCCAUGCCGCGUGUGUGAAGAAGGUCUUCGGAUUGUAAAGCACUUUAAGUUGGGAGGAAGGGCAGUUACCUAAUACGUGAUUGUUUUGACGUUACCGACAGAAUAAGCACCGGCUAACUCUGUGCCAGCAGCCGCGGUAAUACAGAGGGUGCAAGCGUUAAUCGGAAUUACUGGGCGUAAAGCGCGCGUAGGUGGUUAGUUAAGUUGGAUGUGAAAUCCCCGGGCUCAACCUGGGAACUGCAUUCAAAACUGACUGACUAGAGUAUGGUAGAGGGUGGUGGAAUUUCCUGUGUAGCGGUGAAAUGCGUAGAUAUAGGAAGGAACACCAGUGGCGAAGGCGACCACCUGGACUGAUACUGACACUGAGGUGCGAAAGCGUGGGGAGCAAACAGGAUUAGAUACCCUAGUAGUCCCUGAGCGGGCUGGCAAGGCGCAU